CCCAAGGAGUGGACUGAGGGUGCACAUGAAUAGCCUGAGAGCAUUAAUCCUCAUCGUGCUGUGGCUAUGGAAAAUUAUGCCUUGACAUCAUUUUUCAAAGCCAGUACCUCAGUAUUUCUGUAUUGAUAGAUGGAAGUAAGAACACUGGCCUUCUUCAGAGUAGUUAUGUAGUUAUGCAUGUUUAAUAGAUCAAUAUUUUGGCUUUAUUAAGUUGCUCUGGCACAGUGCUUUCAGCACUCACUGAUCACCUUUAGUGGGUUCAUCUCAAAGCACCUGUUAGUUUGCUGACAGGUUCUAGCUGGCAUGAAGAAUCUUCUUCUUACUGAGGUUUAAGUAAGCUUUUCUGCACUUUAUUCCUGCCUUUUAUGUUUUGGACUAUGUCUUUAGGUUAGUGUUGGCUACUAACAAAAACCCUGGUCACGUGACCACAAGCACCAAGAGAAAAGGAUGUAACCUAGUCACAAUGCAUUCCUGAUUUGAGGAGCUGACAUCUGUUUCAGUUGCAAGUUUGUCUUCCAUGACACCUCUGGGUCCCUGUUUCAGUGUUUUACCACUCAUGGUGAAAACUUUUUUCCUUUUUUCCUUAAUAUACCCUGAAUUUCCUCUAUUGCAGUUAAUGUGUUUGUCUUGUCCUAUCACUGUGUUUUUCCAAAGAGUCGGAUAGUGUGGUCCAAGUUUCAAUCCUGUGUCUGCCAGAGACAGUGAAUCUUUUUCCAUGUCUUGGAGACUUUGUUAUUGCAGUUGUCUGCAAGAUAACAUCACAGCACUGUAAGCUCUCAAGAGAAGCAGCUUGCAAAGAAGAGCUGCUUAGGCCGCAUCUUUUCUAUGCCCUCCCACUGGGUAAUUAAUGGUGGAUAGCAAUAAGGUCACCCUGAAGCCUCGUCCUCUUAAAGCUGAACAAACCUAGCUCCUUCAGUCGCUCCUCAUUGGUGAUAUUCUCCAGCCCCUGACAAUCUUGUGGCCUUCUCCUGGAAGUCUGGAACACCCAUGUGAUUUUACUGGGCUUCAGUAGUUUUAUAUGCGUAAAAGACAAUUCCAUGAUGAUGACAAGGAACCAAAACCUUUUUAUUGGAAAAGUGAUAGAGACGGCUACCACGCUGAACUCAGGACAGUCAGAAGAAAAGAAAUCUACUUUAAAGCAUUAAGCAGCUCAUAGAGGAGAAAGUUCUGCCUUGUUAGUUCGGGGUUUUUUUUCAGUCACUGGGUUGCCAGCAUGUUGUCUUCCUGUAUGCAGAAACUGUGCUUUAUUUCGUAAUGCAAUAGGUGGCAGUCUUUAUCUUCUUUUUGUCUCGUCCAGAAGCAGUUAAGUUGUCUUUCUUCCACACACAAAAAAAGACUAAUCUGCUUAGACUGCAGCAAAAGCAAGACAGUAAGGAUUGGCUACCAGUAAUCAAACUGCUUGUGUUUAAACCGUAAAUUAAAUCUCUGUAAACUGUCCUCUGAAUCCACCCAGACUCUGACAAACAUGAGCCUGCAAACAAGUGGCAUUUAACCAUCACUGUCCCUUUUUUUUUUUUCUUUUUUUUUGCAUUUGUCCAAUUUCGGGGCUGAACUGAGAAAAAUUAACUACAUCCCUUUGUAAAGCCCUCAUUCAGAAAUGUAUUCAGUCCUUUCUGUCCUUUCUAACUGAGCAGGUGAAUGAGAGAGAUUUUUUCAUUUUUGUCUUGAAGAGUGUGUCUCUGCCCAAGAAAGGUAACAGAGCAGCAGAGAGGGAACAGUAGACACUAACUGGGCAAAUACUGACUGCAGGAUACCAUCCUUAGAACCCCUUUAUGUAAUAAUACAGGAAGUAUUUCAAAUAACUCUACCUUCAGGUCACAGAACAAGUAAAAGGGAAAAUUACCAAGUGUAUACAGCCCAAAGCUUUGCCUCAGAAUACUAUUUUCUAGAAUUUGCAAAGGGUUUAAACUCUUCAGACACUGGAAAUUAAAUGCAAAUUGUACUAACCAGGAGUUGUCACACUUUUCACUUUAAUUCUACACUGUAGUAUCUUAUAGGGAGACACAAAGGAGUUCAAAGCUAAUAUAAGUAAACGUAUAGUAAAACUUUGUAGUUAACUACAGCUUACAUAUGUAGAAUCCUUUAGUAAGAAAGUUGUGAUUUGUCAGUAGUCAGAAUUAACAUGAAAUGGAUGAAUCUUCGUAUAUUUGAAGUUUUAAUAAUUCAUCAUUUUGAGAGUAUUAAGAAUUUUGUAGUGUAACUAAACAUCAAAAUAAAUUUUGACGUGGUAUUCAUUUGAUAGUCCACAAUUUGAUUGCUUUAUUUUCACUAUAGAAGUCUAAGACUCCUUACAAAGGAUUUUUUUAAUGUAUUUUAUUUUUAUGAAAUUCAAAUAACUGAUGCUGUCAUGGUUUUGAGAAGCAACAUGAGUUCAGAACCCUUAAAGAUCUUCGAACAUAUCAACAAAGCAGCGCUUGAAGAUGAAUAUGUUUUUGGCCUCAUACAUGAUUUAAUUUGAUGCAGCCUUUCUUGUGCUCAGACACAUCCAUUAAUAGUGGUAUAUGAAAAGCUUCAACAUCAGAGUACCAGAAGAAGUAAAAAA